CAGAAUCUUCCUGUUGGAGCGGAGCCUGUGGGAGCCCUGAACCUCUCCUACAUCUCCAUGGUGAGUGAUGCCACCAAACUGCGCCCGAAAGCCGAGUUCUGUUUCGUGAUAAACGCUGGAAUGAGGAAGUUUUACCUUCAGGCCAACGACCAGCAGGACCUGGUGGAGUGGAUCUCUGUCCUCAACAACGCAACCAAAAUCACUGUG